UUAACGUAGAGUUUGAGAACACGGGUCUUCAAUCAAUAUUUACUUAAAGCUGCUCUAAUCUAGCAUUACAAGCAUAAGAAUCGAAGAACAAGUGAUUCUAAUGGUUGAAUCUAAGUCCUUUUAUGAUCCAGUUAACCGAAGUGAUUGUGACCAAAACAUUAAAGAUCAAGUGAUCGCGAUGGAAGAAUCAACUAAUUCCUUUGAUACAAAGGUUCAUGGUACAAUAUAUGUAGUUGGUUUAGGAUUUCUACGGCCUUUCAAAAGGAAGGAAUGUUACAUCUAGAGCAGUUUGAAGGUUUGCUAGGUAGGGCAGAGGAUUCUCAAAGUGUGUCAGUGUAGUUUGAUCAGCUCAGGUAUUAUUUGAGCUAUAUUGGAGGCCUGGUAGCUUCUUAUUUCGAUAUUGGAGGUCCGGGUGAGGUUUUCCUAUGUGGCAAAUGGGUAAUAGCACUUUCACGCUAGAUUAAUCUUUACAUAUCUAGGUUUUUCUUGUUUUUAUUCUUGUUGAGGUUGAUC